rnacentral:pre_miRNA from 1 species
CAUAUACUCGCUCCGUCCGAAAAUACUUGUCGGAGAAAUGGAUGUAUCUAGACGUAUUUUAAUUCUAGAUACAUUCAUUUUUAUGUAUUUUUUUAAUAAAUAUUUUCGGAUGGAGGAAGUAAAAA